AGUGAGAUAGCUGGAUCAAAUGGUGGGUCCAUUCCAAGUUUUCUAAGGAAUCUCCAUACUGCUUUCCAGAUUAGUUGUACCAAUUUGCAGACCCACCAGCAAU
rnacentral:pre_miRNA from 1 species